rnacentral:rRNA from 1 species
GACGAACGCUGGCGGCGCGCCUAAUACAUGCAAGUUGAGCGCAGGAAGCCGUCUGAACCCUUCGGGGGGACGACGGUGGAAUGAGCGGCGGACGGGUGAGUAACACGUAAAGAACCUGCCCAUAGGUCUGGGAUAACCACGAGAAAUCGGGGCUAAUACCGGAUGUGUCAGCGGACCGCAUGGUCCGCUGAUGAAAGGCGCCCCGGCGUCGCCCAUGGAUGGCUUUGCGGUGCAUUAGCUAGUUGGUGGGGUAACGGCCCACCAAGGCGACGAUGCAUAGCCGACCUGAGAGGGUGAUCGGCCACACUGGGACUGAGACACGGCCCAGACUCCUACGGGAGGCAGCAGUAGGGAAUCUUCCACAAUGGACGAAAGUCUGACGGAGCAACGCCGCGUGAACGAUGAAGGCUUUCGGGUCGUAAAGUUCUGUUGUAAGGGAAGAACAAGUGCCGCGGGCAAUGGCGGCACCUUGACGGUACCUUGCGAGAAAGCCACGGCUAACUACGUGCCAGCAGCCGCAGUAA